ACGAACGCUGGCGGCGUGCCUAAUACAUGCCAGUAGAACGCUGAAGAGAGGAGCUUGCUCUUCUUGGAUGAGUUGCGAACGGGUGAGUAACGCGUAGGUAACCUGCCUUGUAGCGGGGGAUAACUAUUGGAAACGAUAGCUAAUACCGCAUAACAAUGGAUGACACAUGUCAUUUAUUUGAAAGGGGCAAUUUCUCCACUACAAGAUGGACCUGCGUUGUAUUAGCUAGUAGGUGAGGUAAUGGCUCACCUAGGCGACGAUACAUAGCCGACCUGAGAGGGUGAUCGGCCACACUGGGACUGAGACACGGCCCAGACUCCUACGGGAGGCAGCAGUAGGGAAUCUUCGGCAAUGGGGGCAACCCUGACCGAGCAACGCCGCGUGAGUGAAGAAGGUUUUCGGAUCGUAAAGCUCUGUUGUAAGUCAAGAACGGGUGUGAGAGUGGAAAGUUCACACUGUGACGGUAGCUUACCAGAAAGGGACGGCUAACUACGUG
rnacentral:rRNA from 1 species